AAUCAAAUUUGACUUUUUUCUGCAUUCAAGUUACGAUCACCGGUGUCCCCGCCCAUUCCAAAACAGAAGCUAAAGGGUUUUAGCCAUACUCAUGCUCCCCAGAA